UUUAUUUCUAAACGCCGCUCUUCCCUCUCUCUCUCUCUCUCUCUCUCUCUCUCUCUCUGUUCUUCCAAUCUUUUUCUUCUCAUUUUCGUUUUCAAUAUUCUUUCUUCCUUCACUGCUAGGGUUACGUUUUCUUCACUUCACUGGGUGAAGUAUAGUUGGCUGUAGUGUUGAAUCUUCAAUAGGAAACACUAUAGUUCAUGAUUAUUUUACUUGAUUGGUACUUAUAUGGAGGAUUUGCGGCGGCGAGGAGAAUAAUGUAAUUAACUAAUGUGAUAAGAUUUUAAUUCAUUAAAUCAGAUAAGUUGAAGAGAUCUAUAUAUUUGUUAGUAAAGAAUUGAAAUGGCUAUUGCUGGUUUGCACAGUGUGUCGAUGCUGGAUUCUUCUUUAUUGAGGGACUCGCAGUCUCAGGCGUCUAGGAGGAGGGGAGAUGGAAGAAGGGGUAGCACUCGGUCGUCUUCACUUUUGCACAUGUGGCGAGAGAUUGAGGAUGAACAUGCAGUGAGUCAAGUUCAAGGUAGCAAUGGGUUGAUUGCGGAUCUUUCGUUAGAAGAUACACCUGAUAGCCCAGAGAUAGGACGGAGGCAUGGUUUGGACGAUGCUGUUUUUGGUGAGAAUGAGUCGGAAACAUGGUCACAGUCACAAAGUCAGAAUGAAUCACAUGAUGGUCAUGAGGAUUUAAACAAUUCUAGCUGUGAAAAUUCUUCUGUUUUUGGAGAAGUUGAAAGGGAAAGAGUGAGACGAAUUUUCAGGGAAUGGAUGAAUAGUGGAUCUAGGGAUUGUGGAUCAACUAUUUCCCGAAGAAGUAGCAGUCCAAGGAGAGAAUGGCUUGGAGAAACUGAACAGGAAAGAGUGAGAGUUAUAAGGGAGUGGGUACAAAUGAGCAGCCAGCAGAGAAACGUUUCUUCUGGGGAAAAUAGGGAACAACCAUGUGCUGAAAUUGGUACACAAAUUGAACGUGUGCGUGAUGGAUUUGUGGUUAACAGUGGUGGUGGCCAAAGUGAACAUAUACUGAGGGGUAUGCGUAAAAUACGUGGCAGGCAGGUUAUGCUAGAUAUGCUUAAGAAGGCUGAGAGGGAAAGGCAGAGGGAAAUUCAGGAGUUGCUGGACCAUCAGGCUGUAUCUCGUUUUCCCCAUCGCAAUCGCAUUCAGGCAUUGCUUAGAGGCAGGUUCUUGAGAAAUGAUAGAUCUACUGAUCAUAACAGGUCCACAUCUGUAGCAGAAAGUGAAUUAGGCCUAUUAAGGCGAAAGCAAACUGUAUCAGGUCUUAGGGAAGGGUUCUUCUCUAGAAUGGACAGUACAGGUUCCAGUCCUGCACCCAGCAGCCUAUCUGACACCUCGUCAAACAUUGAUAUUGAUUUUAAUACAAAUGAGCAAGCUGGAGAAAGCAGUUCAUGUAUUGUCGUUGGAGAUAAUAGUACUGGGAUAUCUGGUGGACACUGUCUAGAAGGAACUACAUGUGAGAGUUUUAAUUGGCAAGAAUCUAUUACUGCCCAUGCAGAUGGAAAUCAGUUGCAGUGCUUGCAAAUUGAAUCAGUAGAUGGGCAGUCAUCAUCAGUCAGUGUUGUAUGUGAAAGAAGAGAUGACACUGGACAAAAUGUUGAUGUGGUGGCAAUCAGAGAUGACAUUGGGCAAAAUGUUGAUGUGGUGGCUAUCAGAGAUACAGCUAAUGAACUAAUCCAACAAAGCUUACAAAUCCAUGAUUCAGAGCAUAGCAGUAAUCAGGAAUCCAGCGAGGUGCACAUUGGGCAAUCUGAGCUGAGUGAUAUAGGUAUCGAUGAAAACGAUUCAUCGAAUCACAAUGGUUAUUCCGAGGGCAAUGCUGUCGAUAAUGUUAAUUAUGGGUCCAGUGCUCUAGAAGGACCUCCGGAAGAUAUUGUUGAAACUGAAGGAAAUGACUGGCAUCAGAGUAACACAGAAUGGAGAAAUAACACUGAUGAAAGUGGGGAUGAUAAUCAGCUCAGCAAUACCGCAAAUGAGUGGCCUGAAAAUAUUUGGGCAAAUGAGGAUGGAGAAAAUCCUCGUCUGCCAGAAGCUUCUGAAGUGUGGCAAGAGGAUGGUGGCUUCCAAGAAGCGGUGGAAAAUUGGUUGGGAGGACCUUCUAACAAUGAAACUGCUCCAGGUGGUAGAGUUAAUAAUUUUUAUUUUCCUGAUGAUGACAAUGUAUACAGUGUUGAACUCAGGGAGCUUCACAGUAGGAGACGCGUCUCUAAUCUUCUCGGCAGUAGUUUCCGUGAGAGUCUUGACCAGUUGAUACAAUCAUAUGUUGAAAGACAAGGUCAUGCUAACAUGGAGUGGGAUAUGGAAGAAGCAACCCCUUCAGCUGCUUUAGUAGAACAGAACCUCGAGCAUCAGAGGGGAGAUCAGAUUGUUGAUCAAGAGACUACUAUUAAUAAUUCACCUGACUUGCCCUCUUUGCAUACACCGCCUACUCCACCUCUUUGGGAUCAGCAUCCUCAUGAUGAUAACUGGCCACACAAUGAUGAUUUGGAGAUGAUUAAUGAUUUGAGACUUGACAUGGCUAGAUUACAUCAAAGAAUGAAUAGUAUGCAGAAGAUGUUGGAGACAUGUAUGGAUAUGCAGCUUGAAUUGCAGCGUUCAAUAAGACAAGAAGUUUCUGCAGCCCUAAAUCGCUCAGGUGAUUCACCAGGAAUACAUGAGUGCGAUUCACCAGUUGACAGUUCUAAAUGGGAAUGUGUGAGAAAAGGACUUUGCUGGAUUUGCGGCGAAGGCAAUAUUGAUUCUUUGUUGUACAGAUGUGGGCACUUGUGCACAUGUUCAAAAUGUGCCAAUGAGUUGCUUCAAAGUAGAAGGAAGUGCCCAAUGUGUCAAGCCCCUGUUUUGGAGGUGAUACGAACUUAUUCUAUACUAUAAAUAUUGACUUUACAAUAAAGGUCAUACUUAACAAUAUACAGGACUCUAACAAGUUGUAUCUCUGGACGUGUCUCCAGGUGGCUGGAUGGUGUUUUAUACUUAUAUAUCAACCUCUCUCUGUACAUUAUGUAAUUGUGAUCUUGUUCUGAAGUGUCGACUCGACACUCAUGUUUGGGUUGCACACUGCAUAUAUCAAAAUCAAAUUGGUUUGGCCCUGAAGUGGAUUGCAUGCCUGACUGUUAUGGUCGGUAUCACAAGCUUAUUUGUGAUGUAAUUUUGAAUGAUAAUAGAGGUAACUUGAAAUAAUAUCAUAUCACAACUAGAAGCAACCAGAUUCAUCAUGAAAGAUUAUUUUGAUUUUUUUUUAAAUUGCUUUGUUGGAAACUUUGGUGGGCAACAUUGACAUCAGUUUCUACGCCAAGUUUUUCACUUUUAUCAAGCCAAGUAACUACUAUUUGUGGUGACAAUAUUUUAUCCCUGUUGUUGGUUUUGGAAUAUGACCUCACAACAUCCAAUCAAUUGCUUUGGGUAAGGGAAAUAUAUAGAAAACGAAGCGACUUCAAUGCUGCAUUAAAAUAAAGGCAAGAAGUAUUUGUUUAAUUGCGGUUUUCCAUCCUUUGCGUUGCACCCCAAUUUUAAGAGAACCCCAAUUUUAAGAGAAUAUCUUACCUCAUCUCUCGGGAGUUUUCACGAACCAUGUGCGUUUCCAAAAAUACUUUUUAUUUUUGGAGGUGUAUCUUCGGAAGCAUCUUAUUUUUACUCAACCUUGAUUUAUUCCGUAGGUGUAUAUAUGAAAUCUCUUAAUUGAAUUAUAUUGAAAUAUUUUUCAACGUUUAUCAGUUUAAAUUAUUUCCGUAGAUGUACAUCCGGAAAAACUCAAAAUUUGGCCAAAAAAUGGUGCUUCUU